AUUGAACGCUAGCGGGAUGCCUUACACAUGCAAGUCGAACGGAGUGGCGAACGGGUGAGUAAUGUAUCGGAACGUGCCCCGUAGCGGGGGAUAACUACGCGAAAGCGUAGCUAAUAACGCAUACUAUUGGAGCGGCCGAUAUCGGAUUGGCUGGUUGGUGGGGUAACGGCUCACCAAGGCGACGAUACGUAGCUGGUUUGAGAGGCCGACCAGCCAAACUGGGACUGAGACACGGCCCAGACUCCGAGGGGAGGCAGCGGGGGGGAAUUGUGGACAAUGGGGGAAACCCUGAUAGAGCGAUGCCGCGUGUGUGAAGAAGGGAUUCGGAUUGUAAAGCACUUUAAGUUGGGAGGCGUUACCAACAGAAUAAGCACCGGCUAACUUCGUGCCAGCAGCCGCGGUAAUAC
rnacentral:rRNA from 1 species